CUGCUGCUCCUGCUGUGUGAAUAGCUGUAAUUCACCAAAGCAGGACCAUUCUUGUUUGUCAGAACAUCCCAUUUCAGUGCAAGCAUGGGUCUGAGGGAAGGAUUUUCAGCUGAUUUAUAGCGUUCUGAGAGGUCCCAACACAUCCUCUAUCUUUCCUCAGCUUUGGGAACACUUGCUUAACCUGUAAUCAGCAUGACUCAAAACAACAUCAGUGUCUGUCUCUGGAGCAAAAAGAAAUAAUGCGCUUUGUUCUGCUGCUUCCUAUUCAAAGAGGAAUCAUACUGGGAAGCAGAAGUUGCUGAGAAGGAGAAAGAUUCAGUACCCAAACUCACUGGAAAAGGAUGUGCAAGAGAACCUCCGGAUAUUCCAGUGGGUUUCAGGUGUCCCACCUAUUACAAUGCCUUUGUUGAUAUCCAAAAAGACCUAACAAUGCGGUGGCCAAAUAAACAAGCCUCCGAGAUCCAACUUCUGCACGUUCAGAUAAGCAGAUCUCCCCAAAACAUGCUUUUCAAUGGCAACACCUGGUGAUGUCCU